CCAGCUCUAGGAAUCUUAGUUGGGCACAUCCCAUUCCCUUCCUGGAUCGCCGUUGCCCACCAGUGGACACCCAGCUCAGCAGGGUUUGGAGUAGCAAGAGAACAGCUCUGUAAUUCCUUCCAACUUGUUGGCAUUACUUUUAUUUGGAGGAACGUAUAUUGGAGGAAGAAGAUGGUUCUUUCUGAAGAGCAUACUGAACAAUCAAAUUCAGUUUCUCCACCCAAACAUCAGUUGUUAAAUGGAGAUGC